CGGACGGGUGAGUAACGCGUGGAAAACCUGCCGUAUACUGGGGGAUAACACUUAGAAAUAGGUGCUAAUACCGCAUAAGCGCACAGCUUCGCAUGAAGCGGUGUGAAAAACUCUGGUGGUAUACGAUGGUUCCGCGUCUGAUUAGCUAGUUGGUGGGGUAAUGGCCUACCAAGGCAACGAUCAGUAGCCGGCCUGAGAGGGUGAACGGCCACAUUGGGACUGAGACACGGCCCAGACUCCUACGGAAGGCAGCAG
rnacentral:rRNA from 1 species